rnacentral:rRNA from 1 species
AACGAACGCUGGCGGCAGGCUUAACACAUGCAAGUCGAACGCCCCGCAAGGGGAGUGGCAGACGGGUGAGUAACGCGUGGGAAUCUACCCAGUUCUACGGAACAACACAGGGAAACUUGUGCUAAUACCGUAUACGCCCCAAGGGGGAAAGAUUUAUCGGAAUUGGAUGAGCCCGCGUUGGAUUAGCUAGUUGGUGAGGUAAUGGCUCACCAAGGCGACGAUCCAUAGCUGGUCUGAGAGGAUGAUCAGCCACACUGGGACUGAGACACGGCCCAGACUCCUACGGGAGGCAGCAGUGGGGAAUAUUGGACAAUGGGCGCAAGCCUGAUCCAGCCAUGCCGCGUGAGUGAUGAAGGCCUUAGGGUUGUAAAGCUCUUUCAGUGGGGAAGAUAAUGACGGUACCCACAGAAGAAGCCCCGGCUAACUUCGUG